ACUUUUGUGUUGUGUUUAUUGGAGAAGAUGGCAUGUCAGUCACUAAAAUAAGCGCUUCGGAUUGGAUUGCUGCCGAGGCUCCAGGGACCCACGCCAAACUUUGCUCCCGAAAUGGAUUCUGGGUUCGUAGUCUCAGCAUUACUUCUGCUUCUGAGAAGCCGCGUGCCAGAGGAACCGGUUGGACUACAUAUCCCAGAGGUGCGUGAACAGCGAAGUCUUGAUAGUAAACAAGAGUCAUAGGGACACGUGUAUCAGCUCGUUUGUUUUGGUGUCUGGGACAAAAGGGAGGAGGCGGAGGAAGGGAGCAUUUUAAGGCUUUGGCCUCUUCUCCUCCUCUGGACUGGUCCUAGCAGUCAGAGCAGCCCCAGCCUCUCGCGGUACCGGUUCUCGGUCAUAAACAGCCAUAGUGCCUGGCUGCUCAGAGUUUGGCAGCAGGCCAAGGUCAGUGACUGCUUUAAAGACUUAGAAGUUCAAACAUGGGGUAUUGCUUAAAUACUGAGAAUACUGCUGUGCAAAUUCUCAAAAGCAAGUUGUUGGUCAUAUUUAUAAUCUUGCAGCUGAAGAUGGCACUUCUGCCAAACUACUACACAGUUUAAGAAGUGAUGUUUUUGAAUAAACUCCACCUUGACUUCCAAUGAUGCCUUCUAAAUUAAAUAGUAUAAUACAAAAGAUAGUAGAUACCGACUUUACUGGGCCUCUCCAAGUAAUAUGGAAAAGAAACUUAGGUACUCUAAAACCCUGUAGUGUAAUUCAAGAACUAUAGUAUCAAUUUAUAUCACAAAAUAAAU